AUGGCCCAUGGGAGCACGGGGAUUUUUCAGAUUUGCAGCUGAGCUGAACUGACCUACCACGGAACAGAAGAACGGAUGAGUCCCGCCCCGUGCUGCCGUGCACAGGGCAUAUACAGAUAUACUCGUGGUGAUGGUGAGAAAUAAUCGGCCAGUUCGUUGAGCUUCUUUUCUAGCUGAGUGCAGGUGGUCCGCGACUGCUCUACCAGAACCAGAACCAGCAACCUGGGAAACGAGGAACGAAGAAACCAACCACGAGCAUCAUGAGGGCGCCGGUCGGUCAUCUUUAUCUGGAGCGCGCCCUUUUUCCUCGUCCGGUAAGGCACUGUUUGGUUAUUCCUAAUAUAUAU
rnacentral:lncRNA from 7 species